AGAGGCAGGAGCUGUGGGAGAGACAGCUGAAGUUGCUGCAGCACAGCCUCACUGCUCACCGUCCAGAGCACUGGAUCACUGGAGACGAGGAGGACGCGGGCGACAUGGAGGAAGAGAUUUCUGAGGAACAGAUACAGACAAUGGCUGUAAUAGAGGGCAUUACAAUUGUUUCUACAGUCUCUGUAGACAUUUUGCAGGAAAAUGACACUUACACUUCUCUUCUUGAAUGUGCCCAGAUGCUAAACAGUAUAGAGAGCACUUUGCCACUGUCACACACACCCCUCCAGCAGGCUGUUCAUUGGCUGUUUGAAUGCUGGUGGAGACGGUAUCUAAAAGGGAAGGAGGAGCUUGGAUGGACUGCUUUCCUUGUCUGUUUAGAGAAUACUGUUACACUUGAGAAACCAGUACUAGAACAACUUUAUAUCCAUUAUAUAUAAUAAUAAACAGGCAGAUCAUUUGAUAUUCUAUAUUGUGGAUGAAAAGUGUUCAUGUUCUGGGUAUGUUCCCAGGUCAGUGAGCUCAGAAGGCUCUGUACUCUACGAGAGGUGCAUCUGAGAGAGGGUAGCAGGUCAUUGAUCCUCUCCUCCAGUGUUUCUUUAGGGUCUCUCAUAUUAAAUAAGAAGAGGUUUGUGAAUAUGUGUUUGUGGGCUCAUACAUCUGAGACAUUAUUUUCCACUGUAGAUCAUUUUUAUAUAAUUUUGUUUAUUGCUUAUUUUUCAGGGGAAACAGUUCCUUGCCUUCCUUUUUUCUUGGAACGAUAACUUCAUUCGGAUGAUUCAUGAAACUAUUAAGAAUCAGCUGCAGUUUUUCCCAAAGUAUUUCAAACACUCAUGACCUCUUGUUUUAUAAUGCCGUGCUUUGUAACUUUGUUUAUGUUAAGAGACAAUACGAAGGGGAGACAGGCCACUUGUAGUAUGAAACAGAAAACCUGCUAAUCUCAAUAUAUAAAGUCGUGGCCAAAAGUUUUGAGAAUUAUAUAAAUAUUAGUUUUCAAAAAGUUUGCUGCUAAACUGCUUUUAGAUCUUUGUUUCAGUUGUUUCUGUGAUGUAC